rnacentral:rRNA from 1 species
AGCAGCCGCGGUAAUUCCAGCUCCAAUAGCGUAUAUUAAAGUUGUUGCAGUUAAAAAGCUCGUAGUUGAAUUUCGGGAUCAAUUUAUUGGUCGUGCCAACGGUACGCACUGGUACAAUUGGUUUCUCCCUUCUGACGAAGCAUGAUGUCAUUAACUUGAUGUCGUGGGGAAUCAGGACUGUUACUUUGAAAAAAUUAGAGUGUUUAAAGCAGGCUUUGGCUUGAAUACAUUAGCAUGGAAUAAUGAAAUAGGACGUUUGAUCUUAUUUCGUUGGUUUCUAAGAUCGACGUAAUGAUUAAUAGGGAUAGUUGGGGGCAUUAGUAUUCAAUUGUCAGAGGUGAAAUUCUUGGAUUUAUUGAAGACUAACUACUGCGAAAGCAUUUGCCAAGGAUGUUUUCAUUAAUCAAGAACGAAAGUUAGGGGAUCGAAGACGAUCAGAUACCGUCGUAGUCUUAACCAUAAACUAUGCCGACUAGGGAUCGGAUGAUGUUAAUUUUUUAAUGACUCAUUCGGCGCCUUACG